rnacentral:rRNA from 1 species
AUACCCGCUGAACUUAAGCAUAUCU